GUGUUGUAGCUAACGCGWUAAGCACUCCGCCUGGGGACUACGGUCGCAAGACUAAAACUCAAAGGAAUUGACGGGGACCCGCACAAGCGGUGGAGCAUGUGGUUUAAUUCGAUGCAACGCGAAGAACCUUACCACUUCUUGACAUGGAGAUUAGAUCCUUCUUAACAGAAGGGCGCAGUUMGGCUGGAUCUCGCACAGGUGCUGCAUGGCUGUCGUCAGCUCGUGUCGUGAGAUGUUGGGUUAAGUCCCGCAACGAGCGUAACCCUCAUCCUUAGUUGCCAGCGGGUUAAGCCGGGCACUUUAAGGAGACUGCCAGUGGUAAACUGGAGGAAGGUGGGGAUGAUGUCAAGUCAGCACGGCCCUUAUGGGGUGGGCUACACACGUGCUACAAUGGUGACUACAAUAGGUUGCAAUGUCGYAAGGCUGAGCUAAUCCGUAAAAGUCAUCUCAGUUCGGAUUGUCCUCUGCAACUCGAGGGCAUGAAGUCGGAAUCGCUAGUAAUCGUGGAUCAGCAUGCCACGGUGAAUACGUUCUCGGGUCUUGUACACACUGCCCGUCACGCCAU
rnacentral:rRNA from 1 species